UUAAAGCCUAUUGUAUAUUAUCCCGAAGUUUCAUUCCAUAAAAAACAGAAAUAAGGAAAUUCGAUAUUUCGUGUACCAUCAGCAUCCAAAUUUUCAAGUAUACAGAAAUUUAACUUUCCGGAAUAUAACGGAAAUUUUCGGGUAUCUCCGUGGUACCAUCUCCGUGCAAUUAUGCAGUAUGGCGUUCAUCUCUUACGGAAAGAGAAUGGUAACUUGGUAAGUGUUUAAAAUACAUAUUCAACGUUUUUUUCGUUUAUUUUUAUGACUUUUGUACAGUAGUAUAAAUCGUCCACCCUUUGGAUGAAAAGCAAAUGAUUUAUCCGGAUUUUGUUCAUCCGAAACUAAAUCACUAGUAUCAACAUCCGGUGUAAUUUUUGCUGGUAUUUUGGAGAAACCCGAUUGAUUUCUAGCAAACUUGGUUUACCACUACAUCGUCGCUUAUUAUUGUUUGUUGCUGCUUGGGACAAUAAAGUUAAGUCAGCAACCGUCUACCAGACUGCAAGAUUCAUCUCUUCCAAAGGAUGUUGUACCUUUCCAGAUACACUGUGUUUUGUGUGGAUAAGAAAUGCAGAGUGGUACCACCAAUCACCUAAUGGGGACAGUUCCUGCAAUUUACAGAAAAGCUCUCAAUUGUAGCCCUACGAACUUCAGAUACUGCCGAUGGUGAAGCUUGGGUGCACUGGGCCGGUUUUCCAGCCGUGUGGAAUCAACAUCUCCAGCUGAACUGGGGCCGGGAAUUAUAUAAGACUCCUUAGCAGCAUGAGUGCCAGCCAGUCAUUGCUGUUCUUUGCAUUGCUGAGGAGGACAGUCCUGCCAACAUAACAGUUUGUUCAAUAACAGGAGACAAACAGAAACACAGAGGUGCUAUACAUUCUGAUGGAAAAACAAAAGCAUCUCCCAUCAUUUUGGCGUGGCUCAGAUCAAGAGGAGAAUUUUAAGAAAGGUGAUGGUUGGGCACACACAAGAAGACAUAGAUCACAGGUGUCUAGCCAUAUGAGUAGAUAGGAGUGUCACAAUCUGCCAAACGUACUUCAUCAGACGAGCAGAAAGCUUCUCAAGAUCCCGCACUGCACACUAAGACAUAGUCUUUGACUACAACAAGGUGAUGAAAGUACAGAGAGGUCCAAUUGAAAUCAAUUCUGUGCUGCUGUCAUUUCUUCAUUCUGGAAGUCGAUGGACAUGAUUUAUCAUGGCAUCAAGUGUGCAGUUUGCCGACUACCAGCAGUCUUGUUCACCAGCUGUGCAACUUGAGCUGGUAGCUUUAUUGCUUGAAGCCACUGCAUAAGAGGGGGAAGGUGCAGGCUCAUCAAAAAGUCUCAAAAGUUGAAACUAGGAAAAGAAGUUUAUCAAGAGUGUGAAUCUAUUUUGAAAACAAUCGUAAACAUACUAUGAAUUGAGAUGCUUAAAUAAAAAACCGCUAUUCAAAUAUCAGGAAACUGCCUUUUUCAUACUAAAGGGUAAAUGAUGUCGCCAUUUCCUGUAUGUAUUUAAAUAAGAUAUGUCUCCACAAUUAAUAUUUUUAGGGAAUUUUUCUCAACCUAAUGAAUGAGAUUAAAUUGUACAGUGUUAUAUGAGCUUAAUAUGUGUUUUCUCAUUCUUUAAAAUUGGUGAAAAAUUGUCAGAAGAUAAUUAGACCAGUAUCCAUUACUGCAAUCAUACAAUCAAAUAUACAGGGACAAGCCCACUGGGCAUAUGAUAUAAUUAAACCCUGUUUAGGAGCACGAGGCAAACACUUUCAAACGUUAAAGCUGCACUCUCACACUUUGGAUGUUUUGACAACCUUUUUCAUUUUAUGUCUUGGAUUGGAACCAUCCAAUUUUUGCGAAAAAUUAAAUCCCAGAUUUUUCUAUUUAAGUUAAAACAUUGAUGUUUUUUAUGCACUUUUCUUAAACCGUUAGUAAAUAUUAAUUUUCGAACGGAAAUAUGAAAUCUGCGAUCGGAUCUUUUGUCAGCAAUCUUUUAUCAUUGGUUUGCAGAUAAUUACGCCAAAACUUGCUCAUUCCAAGACAAAAAAAGUUGUGGAAACGGUAUAUCUGUGAGAGUGCAGCUCUAAAUGUUUAAUUGCUUGAUUUUACUACUGUAUUAGAAAUUACAGGGAUUGGGGCAUAUUUUUAGUGUUUUUAUUGCUUGUUUUUGAUUCAUACAGUCAUACUUUAUUCUUCAGGGCACAACUUACAAAUAGACAAAACUGGAAAAUGGUCAUAUCAAAAGGUCAAAGAUAAUGCAAGUUGAACAAUCAUAUUGUUCAUGGCUUGUAUUUUUGGUAUAUUUUGUUGCAUAUGCUAUAGAAAAGUUGAAAGUUAAAAAUAAAUUCUUAGUUGAAAUGAUGGCUUUGAAUGGUAUUGUCAGAUGAGAAACGGCACUAUUAAGAAAUAGGUAUAAUGGUACUUUAUUUAUUUUAAUCAAUUUUAGAUAUUAUGAAAAUUAUUAUCUUAUUUAGUACAUGAGACCUUUUAAACAGUUAUUGACAAUAUAACAAUGUGUAUAUGAAGCUUUAGAUCAACACUUAAAGCUGCACUCUUACAGAUUGUCAGUUUAGACACAAACUUGUCUCAAAAUCGGCUGAUUUGGUUAUCAUUCCUUUAAUUCAGUCAUAUUAGAUAAUUCAUGAUAGAACCAAUCAAAAAUGUUCGGUAAAACUGCCGAAAAGUUCAUUUACAUUAAAUUGUUCGUAAUGCUUUUAGUCAUUGUUCGUAAUGCUUUUAGUCAUAAAACAUCAUUUUUUUAACAUAAAUAUGAUGAACUGCAAUAUGAUCUUUUUUCAGCAGUCUUAUAUCACUUCAAAUUGGGUCUAGACAUUUCUGCAAAAAAUACUCCAUUUAUAGACAAACAAUAAAAGAGUACCAGUAGUCAAAACGAUCAAUCGGUGAGAUUGCAGCUUUAAAUACACCUUUUAAGACCGCUGUAAAAUUCCAAUGGUUUGCCUAAAUCUUUAAAGCUAGCAUACUGUUUAAUUGACAACCAUACUUAUUGUUUAAAAGUGUCAUGAUAUCUUUGUACAAUGUUUUUAUAUAAUUCAUUUAAGAAGUGAAAACAAAUUUGUUUAUCUUGUAAUUUGUUAUCUAUUAUUUAAAUGACUCAGUCAAAAAUGGGAACGUCAGUGCUAGUUCUUUUACUAUUAACAUCACAUGAAGUUUCUAUUGGUGUAGCAGCAAGGAGGUGUUACAUUAAGGAUGCAUCAUUUAAACCAAAUUAUACAUUCAUAUGCACAUCAUACAGGCGUGUAGCCGCCUAUACGUGAAUACGCGGCUGAAUCCACAUGAUUCUGACAAAAAAAUCAACCAAAGUUGCAGUAUGCGAACUUGACUACAUGAAUCUAAAACUGGUUAUUUUCCAGUACUAAAUAAUGCACAUCGGAACGCCCAGAAUGCACUAGAUUGCACCAUGGUUUUCAAAAUUUUCUGAGGGGGCACGCCCCUGAACCCCCCAGCACAUUUAUGAAUUCACAUGAAUAGAGGGGUAGCUACACCCCUGACAUAAUUGAAACCACAGUGUGGCUAAACAACACUUGUAUGUUUAUCAUACGCAGUGAUCUCCCAUGGAAAUGCAAUCGUCAAAGAAUCUGAAGGGGCUGUUUAUAUGGACUAGAUUUGAAAUGCACCAAGUGUUUAAAAAAGUUGAUUUCAGUCACGAAGAGAAUCAACCAUACCCCACACUUGUUGGAGUAAGAUGAAAUGUCCACUUUCCGCGAGAAAGAAAGUACAUUGAAAAUGUUCAUUUGAUUCAAUUGACUUUAUCUUUUUAUAAAUAUGUUGCAAUACAUAAAAUACGUUAUUUGUUAUAAUUGUUUACCCAUGUUGAAUUUUAUUUGGCAAAUUUAUAAGAGAUUUAAAUAUUAAGAAACUCAGCCGCCAAAGAGGAUAUGAUUAUGACAUACUUUUUUUAAAUCUUUCGAACAUGAGUUUUUGAGUGAAUAUAAGCGAAGCGUUAAGUGUUUUGAAAAUGCAUCUUUUACUUGGAUUUUAUAGAUUGUUAUUACGAAAUAAAGUAUGGCGAAUCAAACGAAGUGUUAAAGCCAAGCUAUUGAUGGCUGAAACCCUUCAAUAAAUGUUGAUAUGUGCUAAAAUAUAGUCUUUGAAGUCCAAAAUUUUGAAAUGCGUUACUAACCCGAUUCAACAAAAGGCUGUUGCACAAUCAGUUGAUUGACAUAAUCACGUGAUAAACCAAUAACUUCCAUUAAGGUUAAAAUAUUCAACACCUUAGUAUGAGUCCCUGUGGGCGAGUGGAUAAGCGAUCCGUUUUUGAUUCUAUGUGUUAUCUGCACCCCCAUGUGCUUGCUCCCAACUUGAACAAGAUCAAUUUUUAAUACUUUAAUCUGUUUUUUAAAAAUGCAAUUGAAGUAUAAAAGAAAAUCAACCUGGUUACUAUUAUUUCGGCAGUUUCA